rnacentral:rRNA from 1 species
UACGUAGGGAGCGAGCGUUGUCCGGAUUCAUUGGGCGUAAAGAGCUCGUAGGCGGCUUGAUAAGUCGGAUGUGAAACCUCCAGGCUCAACCUGGAGUCGCCAUCCGAUACUGUCAUGGCUAGAGUCCGGUAGGGGCCCACGGAAUUCCUGGUGUAGCGGUGAAAUGCGUAGAUAUCAGGAGGAACACCUGUGGUGUAGACGGCUUUCUGGACCAUAGCUGACGCUGAGACACGAAAGCGUGGGUAGCAAACAGG